rnacentral:rRNA from 1 species
AUUGAACGCUGGCGGCAGGCCUAACACAUGCAAGUCGAACGAGUGGCGGACGGGUGAGUAAUGUCUGGGAAACUGCCUGAUGGAUGGGGUUAACUACUGGAACCGGUAGCUAAUACCGCAUACCAUCCGAUGUUCCCAGAUGGGAUUAGCUUGUUGGUGGGGUAACGGCUCACCAAGGCGACGAUCCCUAGCUGGUCUGAGAGGGUGACCAGCCACACUGGAACUGAGAAACGGGCCAGACUCCUACGGGAGGCAGCAGUGGGGAAUAUUGCACAAUGGGCGCAAGCCUGAUGCAGCCAUGCCGCGUGUAUGAAGAAGGCCUUCGGGUUGUAAAGUACUUUCAGCGGGGAGGCGUUACCCGCAGAAGAAGCACCGGCUAACUCCGUGCCAGCAGCCGCGGUAAUUC